AAGUCGUAACAAGGUUUCCGUAGGUGAACCUGCGGAAGGAUCAUUAACGAGUUUUGAAAGGGGUUGUCGCUGGCCUUUCACGAGGCAUGUGCACACCCUGCUCAUCCACUCUCAACCUCUGUGCACUUAUUGUAGGCCGGUGGAAGGCUCGCAAGAGCUGGAAGCCUGCUUAUGUUUUACUACAAACGCUUCAGUUAUAGAAUGUUUACUUGCGUAUAACGCAUUUAUAUACAACUUUCAGCAACGGAUCUCUUGGCUCUC
rnacentral:misc_RNA from 1 species